AGUCGAACGGCAGCACGGGCUUCGGCCUGGUGGCGAGUGGCGAACGGGUGAGUAAUACAUCGGAACGUGCCCUGUAGUGGGGGAUAACUAGUCGAAAGAUUAGCUAAUACCGCAUACGACCUGAGGGUGAAAGCGGGGGGCCGGUAACGGCCUCGCGCUACAGGAGCGGCCGAUGUCUGAUUAGCUAGUUGGUGGGGUAAAAGCCUACCAAGGCGACGAUCAGUAGCUGGUCUGAGAGGACGAUCAGCCACACUGGGACUGAGACACGGCCCAGACUCCUACGGGAGGCAGCAGUGGGGAAUUUUGGACAAUGGGGGCAACCCUGAUCCAGCAAUGCCGCGUGUGUGAAGAAGGCCUUCGGGUUGUAAAGCACUUUUGUCCGGAAAGAAAUGGCUCUGGUUAAUACCCGGGGUCGAUGACGGUACCGGAAGAAUAAGCACCGGCUAACUACGUGCCAGCAGCCGCGGUAAUACGUAGGGUGCGAGCGUUAAUCGGAAUUACUGGGCGUAAAGCGUGCGCAGGCGGUUUUGUAAGACAGGCGUGAAAUCCCCGAGCUCAACUUGGGAAUGGCGCUUGUGACUGCAAGGCUAGAGUAUGUCAGAGGGGGGUAGAAUUCCACGUGUAGCAGUGAAAUGCGUAGAGAUGUGGAGGAAUACCGAUGGCGAAGGCAGCCCCCUGGGACGUCACUGACGCUCAUGCACGAAAGCGUGGGGAGCAAACAGGAUUAGAUACCCUGGUAGUCCACGCCCUAAACGAUGUCAACUAGUUGUUGGGGAUUCAUUUCUUCAGUAACGUAGCUAACGCGUGAAGUUGACCGCCUGGGGAGUACGGUCGCAAGAUUAAAACUCAAAGGAAUUGACGGGGACCCGCACAAGCGGUGGAUGAUGUGGAUUAAUUCGAUGCAACGCGAAAACCUUACCUACCCUUGA
rnacentral:rRNA from 1 species